rnacentral:lncRNA from 1 species
GCUAACACACAUAGAGAGAAAAUACACAAACAAACAGUGUUUGAUCCUGCUUUGCUGCAGGGUGUUUUCAUCUUUCAAGAGACCAAGGGAAAAACAACCUCAGAACUUUACCACCAAAACUUCCAAAUUUAUUGCAACACAACGUAACGGCAAAAUACUAUUUUCUUAGCACACGCAAUUUUGAGCAACCACCACGGCCAAGAAUGCUUGUUUUUAUUUUUACAAUAAGUCCAAAGAAAAUUUUUAAUUCCACUCUUGAUUUAGGAAUGGCAAAGAUGCUGUGGGUUGUUUGGAGAAAACUGUCAUGUCUAAUUAUUCAGUCUUAUCCUCUCUCUUUAACCUGUGCUUGAGGCGUUUAUUUCAU